GCUGGGUGUGAUGGUGCAGGCCUGUAAUCCCAGCAGCUUGGAGGCUGAGGCAGGAGGAUCACAAGUUCAAAGCCAGCCUCAGUAAAAGCGAGGUGCUAAGCAACUCAGUGAGACCCUGUCUCUA
rnacentral:sRNA from 1 species